rnacentral:lncRNA from 1 species
CGAAGAGUAGCGGCCCGGGGCGGGGGCUGGAGCGCGGGCGCCACGAGUCCCAGCACUGCCCGCCGCGCUGCCGGCGCCCCAGGCUGGAGGAGGAUGCCGGACCCGCAGGGAAUUCAUUCCUGUCCCAGCCCUGGCCGCCCUUCUGACGGAGGAGCGGCGGGCAAAACCCGCUGCCCCCCGAGCAGAAGCUGAGGGGAGACGCUAGGCAGCCUCGGGGCGACGGCGGCCAGUGGGCGCCGAGCGAGGAGCACGAAGAACCGGCUGCGGCCGGGCGAGGCGGCGGGAAGCGUUCGGAGCCGCUGCCGAAGCUUCCAGCAGAGCCCUCGAAGUCGUUCCGUUCCUUUCUUCUGUAAACACCUAAUUGCAAGCCCCCGUGGGCCAGGCAUGGGGUACCAGAGAUCAGUAAAGCGGAGUCUCUGCCCUCGGGACCCCGUGUGGCGAAUACAGUGUGGUAAAUGAAAUCACAAAUCGUGGGAAAUUGUGAAAGGAAUCACGUUCUGUACACACACGCGACAAACAGCUCAACACAUUUCACAUAUAUUUCAGUCCUCAUCUGUUCAGAAGCUACUAUUAAAAGCUACUAUUAUCCCACCUCACAGAGGAGGAAACCGAGGCUCAGUUGUGUAACUUCUUGCUCAGAGUCACACAGCUAAUAGUAAUACGGAAGCGGGGAUUCUUAAACUGCCUGAUUGACUCCAAAAUGGACUUUACUGCUUUCUACUGAUAAAAGAAUUUGAAAUGACACUCAGAGCUAACUCAGUCUUCUAGAACGCUGGAGCUGGGAGUCACUCUAGGGACAGCCCUUGUUCUGUAAACAAGGGAGCAACAGCCCUGACAGAGCCAACUGGCAGGUUGCAGUUGAAGGAUUUAGGCUGAGGACCAGACUGCAAUGCUAUCAUGGUGCUUCUUCAAGAGGUUCCCCAGGUCUUUGCUCCUCUAAGUGUGGUCUCUGGAUCAGCAGCAUCAAUGUCACCUGGGGGCUUGUUAGAACUACUGAAUCUCAGGACCCAUCCCAGAUAUGCUGAAUCAGAAUCUGCAUUUUUAAAAAUGCCCAGGCACUUCACGUGCUUAUUAAACUUUGCAAAACACUGCUCUAAGUGGCAGUCAACAUUCCUAAGUCCCCGGUCUUUGUAUUUGUACAGAUGAACUGCAACACACAUGUGUACAAUCAUCCCUUCUUAUGAGUUUUUUGAAAAUAGCUCCAACCAUCAUUUUUACACCAACAAAGAAGAAACCACCUUAACUUCAGAUCUGUGCCAUACCGCUCACCACCCAGCUCAACAGAUACAGUCCCUCUAGCUACCACAAACAUCGUUUCACAAAUUCUUCCCGUACUGGUUUUUAAGCUAGCACACCUGGAUAGGAGCUUCUUUUUAUGAAACUAUGUCUAUCAGAGGACAUUUAUAUAAUCCUUCAUAAAAAUGGAUCCAACAGGCCGGGCACAGUGGCUCACGCCUGUAAUCACAGCACUUUGGGAGGCCGAGGCAGGUGGAUUGCCUGAGGUCAGGAUUUUGAGAGCAGCCUGGCCGACGUGGUGAAACCCCAUCUCUACCAAAAAUACAAAAAUUAGCUGGGCGUGGUGGUGUGCGCCUGUAAUCCCAGCUACUCGGGAGGCUG